rnacentral:rRNA from 1 species
UACAGAGGGGGCAAGCGUUGUUCGGAAUUACUGGGCGUAAAGGGCGCGUAGGCGGCCUGCUAAGUCGAACGUGAAAUCCCCGGGCUCAACCUGGGAACUGCGUCCGAUACUGGCAGGCUUGAAUUCGGGAGAGGGAUGCGGAAUUCCAGGUGUAGCGGUGAAAUGCGUAGAUAUCUGGAGGAACACCGGUGGCGAAGGCGGCAUCCUGGACCGAAAUUGACGCUGAGGCGCGAAAGCCAGGGGAGCAAACGGG